rnacentral:lncRNA from 1 species
UAAUAGCUAAGGUUUGGGUUCUCGUGUAAUGCGAGUUAUUUAUACCCAUCUCGCUUUCAUCUAUACUGUCCAUCACGAUUUGAUCUCGACCGUUCAAUCGCGUAUGAGGAAAUGAAUCUGGGCCAUCCAUCAUGAUUGAUCUCGACCGUCCGAUUAUGUUUAAAGGGAGAAUAAAUUCAGACCAUCUAUGUGUGCAGGAUCGAUCCUGGAUCGUUCGUUUGCGGGGCACAUUGAUUGCCCGCGUG